CAUACCACUACCUCCGAAAAAGUAGAGAGAUUGUUUCCGAUAGACCCCCGACUCAAGAUAGAGAACAAUACACCAAGGUCGUAAUGAAACGUGAAAUGGAAUGGAUGGUAUAAACGAAAUACGAAAUAAGAAAUAAUAAAAAUAAAUAUUAGAGAAAUACGAAAUAAGAGAAAUACUAGUAAUUCGAGAUAAGAAAUAAGAAAGAGGAUACCCUCCUAGUAGUAACAUACACUCACAGACCAAAGACACCCACCACACCCAAACUCUCCUGACUAGAGGCUCCUACUCAUGGACACAGUCCUAGGAUUACUAACCCGGCUACAUAAGUGCUCUCCUACCACC
rnacentral:lncRNA from 1 species